GUGUGUGUGUGUGUGUGUGUGUAUAUGUAUAUAUAUAUAUAUAUAUAUAUAUAUAUAUAUAUAUAUAUAUAUAUACACAUACACACAUACACACAA